CAGAUGAUGCGCUUUGUCUCUCAGAUGUCAAACCUGACCAGACGCUUUUGACUAAUACAACUAUGGAGAACCAAUCCUUCAAUAAGCUCGAAAAUUCUACAGUUAUGAAAUACGACUCUGCUGAAUCUAUUUUUUUAGAUCGUAUUAGAGCACUACAAUAUGAAAAUAGUAUUCUUUUAACCAAUAUAUCAACUUUGUAUUAUACAGCACGUCAGGAAUUGGAAGAAAAAAAUAAAUAUAUCACAUCUUUACAAAAACAAAUUGCUUCUUUAAAAAAAGAAUAAUCGCAGCAUGCGUUAUUGUUCUAUUUAACAAACAAUAAAAAAAAAUGAG